CCCAAGCAUCGCGUACUACCCAUGCAGUCGAGCGGAACGAUGAUAGCUUGCUACCAGGCGUCGAGCGGCGGACGGGUGAGUAAUACUUAGGAAUCUACCUAGUAGUGGGGGAUAGCACGGGGAAACUCGUAUUAAUACCGCAUACGUCCUACGGGAGAAAGGGGGCAACUUGUUGCUCUCGCUAUUAGAUGAGCCUAAGUCGGAUUAGCUAGAUGGUGGGGUAAAGGCCUACCAUGGCGACGAUCUGUAGCUGGUCUGAGAGGAUGAUCAGCCACACCGGGACUGAGACACGGCCCGGACUCCUACGGGAGGCAGCAGUGGGGAAUAUUGGACAAUGGGGGAAACCCUGAUCCAGCCAUGCCGCGUGUGUGAAGAAGGCCUUUUGGUUGUAAAGCACUUUAAGCAGUGAAGAAGACUCCGUGGUUAAUACCCACGGACGAUGACAUUAGCUGCAGAAUAAGCACCGGCUAACUCUGUGCCAGCAGCCGCGGUAAUACAGAGGGUGUAAGCGUUAAUCGGAAUUACUGGUCGUAAAGCGAGCGUAGGUGGCUUGAUAAGUCAGAUGUUAUAUCCUCGGGCUUAACCUGGGAACUGCAUCUUAUACUGUUAUGCUAUAUUAGGUGAGAUGGAA
rnacentral:rRNA from 1 species